rnacentral:rRNA from 1 species
GUAAUAGUUAUGAUCUUGAAACUUAAAAAAUUUGGCGGUAUUUUAGUCUAUUCAGAGGAACUUGUUCUUUAAUCGAUAAUCCACGAUGGACCUUACUUAAAUUAGUAAUCAGUUUAUAUACCGUCGUUAUCAGAAUAUUUUAAAAGAAUAAUAAUUUUCAUAAAUUUUUAUAUUAAUAUAUUUCAGAUCAAGGUGUAGUUUAUGUUUAAGUAGAAAUGAGUUACAAUAAAUUUAUUUAUUAUGAAUUUAAUUAUGAAAAAAUUAAUGAAAGAGGAUUUGAUAGUAAAAUUAUAAAGAA